rnacentral:rRNA from 1 species
AGCGGCGGAUGGGUGAGUAACACGUGGGGAACCUGCCCCUAAGUCUGGGAUACCAUUUGGAAACAGGUGCUAAUACCGGAUAAUAAAGCAGAUCGCAUGAUCAGCUUUUGAAAGGCGGCGUAAGCUGUCGCUAAGGGAUGGCCCCGCGGUGCACUAGCUAGUUGGUAAGGUAACGGCUUACCAAGGCGACGAUGCAUAGCCGAGUUGAGAGACUGAUCGGCCACAUUGGGACUGAGACACGGCCCAAACUCCUACGGGAGGCAGCAGUAGGGAAUCUUCCACAAUGGACGCAAGUCUGAUGGAGCAACGCCGCGUGAGUGAAGAAGGUUUUCGGAUCGUAAAGCUCUGUUGUUGGUGAAGAAGGAUAGAGGUAGUAACUGGCCUUUAUUUGACGGUAAUCAACCAGAAAGUCACGGCUAACUACGUGCCAGCAGCCGCGGUAAUACGUAGGUGGCAAGCGUUGUCCGGAUUUAUUGGGCGUAAAGCGAGCGCAGGCGGAAAAAUAAGUCUAAUGUGAAAGCCCUCGGCUUAACCGAGGAACUGCAUCGGAAACUGUUUUUCUUGUGUGCAGAAGAGGAGAGUGGAACUCCAUGUGUAGCGGUGGAAUGCGUAGAUAUAUGGAAGAACACCAGUGGCGAAGGCGGCUCUCUGGUCUGCAACUGACGCUGAGGCUCGAAAGCAUGGGUAGCGAACAGGAUUAGAUACCCUGGUAGUCCAUGCCGUAAACGAUGAGUGCUAAGUGU